rnacentral:lncRNA from 1 species
AAUUUACAGUAGCAACCACAAGGAAAGCAAAUCAAACCCUGUUUAUAUACAACAACAACAAAACCAAAAUCCCAACUUAUUGUUCAUGAAUGAAAAUAUUUCUUUUUCUUUCUUUCUUUCAUAGGAAAAGAUAGAGGAUCAAGGGUCGGGUUAGGUCAUUGGCAACCAAAGUAAAAUUAUGUCAGAUCUCAUGUACAUGGAUCUUGACCAUAUUUAUAUCAGCCAAUAAUUAUUCAAAUGCUACAAACCUUUAAUGGAAGUUGGCCAAAUGGUAACAAAGUUAAACCUCAUAUCUCGAUUAAAACCUGUUUCAGCUUUCAAUGCACAUCAAAUCAACACUGGUCCUUUUGAGGCUGAAAAUUAAUUAAUUUCAGAUGAUUGUAACAACAUGAAGUUUCCAAUGUGCUUGAUAUAAGCCCUACAUAAGCCCAAUGAUCAGAUGAUGUAUCACAAGUAAGCUCUUAAGUAGCACCCUCAAAGUACACAUAGGAUGCCCCAAUUGAUCAAUAAAAAGUUUCAGCCUUAGAGUGGAGAAGUGUUGCAAUUACAUCAGUAUAAUGAGUGUUCUACAGCUUUUUGAAAUAUCAUAAAAAUGAAAAUUGGAAAAAGGAUUGAGGCCAAUAUCAAAAUCAAAAUGAAGAUAAAAUCAUGAGCAAGAUUAGAUUGGGAUAUAGAUCAGGAGAAAGGAAGCCUAAAAAGUGGGUGAAGUAGCUCCCAGAAACUGGCAAAUUUACAAUGAAGUUAUAUCUACAGGACAUUUCAGAUUCCAACUGAGAGAUUGAAUUUAAACAUGCUCAGGGAUAAGGAAAUUAAGGUGAGAAUAAAUAUAAGUUAGAAGAACACUCAGUAAACAAAACUAAUUGUAGAUUAAUGUUACACUGACACUAAUAUGUUGAAAUUCUCUUGUAUAAUUUAAAUAAAGAUUGAACAUAGCAAUGUAAUCUGUACAAGUUAGAUAAUACAAGUGUUCUUUAUCACAAAAGUCAACUUCCCAAAAAGAUUCAGUGAUUUAUUUUGUUUAUUGUGGUGUAAUUCUUAGUUGAACCAGUUUGACAAUUUUGGUGGGGGUAAUUCUAUUGGAUUCACCUUUAGCUUAUUAGUUUAUGUUAGACAGUCUAGUUUGUUGCGUUAGAUCACAUCAACUAAGUUUAUUUGGCUUUUUAAUUAAUUGAACCAAAUUGAAAAUAUUCCAAUUUGGUUCAAAAAACCAAACUGGUGCCUCUGCACACCAGAUUUCGUUUCAAUUCCCCAAUUUUGGAAUUCAAUCUUUCAAGAUAAAAUUAUGAACAAAGUUGUAGUUUCUUUUAAAGGUGGAUCUCUCUGUUUCUUUCCACUUCCAAUGCACCAAACACCAAAAGCAGAAAGUUGUAUAGUGUUUGCUGGCUUCAAGGCUGCCACUUUAUCCGAUCAAAGAGUUCUUAAAAAGUCAAUGGAAAUUGAAAUCUCAAAUGUUUUCUUUCCUUAUGCAGAUAAAACGCUUACCAAUUUUUGUAGUGUCUCUUCACAUUUUUCUAUGUUCUUUUUCUUCCCUUCACCUCCUCAUAUUACUUCUAGAAACUGAAUCUAAUUGUUACUCCCAAGUAUCACAACCUCGUUUCUAAGUCCCUCACUCUGAACUACAAAUAUCCUGCCAUCUUCCUUCACUAACAUGAAUUAACAAGAGAUAUUGAGAUGUCAUGGGAAUUCCUCAGCCAGUGAUAGCUAGUCUUGUACAGGCUUUGACCUGUUCAUUAUUCACCUGAAGUUAUAAGCAUCAUUCUAAACAAAAAAUAAAAAUUAUACAUCUUCUGAGCAUCAGAAUCAUGGAAUGUUUAGAACCCAAAGUCAUAGAAUUUUCGUAUUUUGCAAUCAGUAAAUAAUCUACAAGAAUUAUGAAUAACUCUUGGUAGAACAAUCUUCUCUCCAUUAAAAUGGCAAAAGAAUAUAGACAAAGAAAGAUGCCUACUGAGAAGGAAUUUCCACGACCACAAAAUGAGAAAGGACAUCAUAUAACAGUUAUCACAUGAUAUAAUUUAACAAUGAGAGUGUGGCUUUUAGGCACACUAUGUGGUUAUAGAUCAUAACCCAUAACAAAAUCGGCAUAAGAUUUUUUAAAUAUUGACAGCCACAAGUUGGUUUUAGUUAGUGUUUGAAAACUACUCUUCCAAGUAACUGAAUGUCGCUAACCUAAUCUUAAAAAAAUGUUGAGCAGAAAAGCUUUCGUAGAAAACUAACAUUAGUUGAAUAGGAGUUCAUGGAUCAUAGAGAACUAACACUAUUAGAAUAUGAUUCAACUAACUGAAGCAGGAAGUACAUCAUCAGAAGCAUGGCUGUUAGAAUUGUAACAAUUUGAGUUGCAUCAUCACCAAAUUAAGACUCCCACUUACCAAAGCCCCACAAUUUUUGUCCAAAACCUAUCGGUUUUUCACAUUGACAUGUGCAAAACUAAAUCCACAGGCAAAAUCAAAGAUAACAGACGAUCAGACGAGAAAAAAUCAUACCUCCAUUCGGUCUCUCCGUAAGGUGAGUAGUAAUCGUAGCCGAUCUCAUUCUUGUCGACGCAGUUGAACAUGAGAGCCGCAAGCGACGCAAAAAUUCCUAAAAAUUGGUCAUCGGAUGGGGUCAAUUCGAAAUCUAACGAGUUACGGAGACACGGCCAAAGAGAUCAACAGCGGGGGCGAAGGUGAAGGGGGUUCACCGGGGAGGUAAUGUAGGAACGAGAUCUUGACGGCGCUGCAGACGACGGCGUCAACCCAGAACCACCACCCUGCGCCGAACACGGCGCCAGCUAUCCCCGGCCCCAUGAUCUCCCACAUCAACCCCAGGUUGUCCAUCGCCUCUCCUGUCGCCCUCCGCCCUCCGCCCGAGCUCUGUUGCGUCUUCCGCCGGCUAUCAGCUUUGGCAAAGACGCGUUCACCCCAACGCCGAAGGGCCUAAUGAUGGAACCGAUACGCUAAUCCAAGUCGGAUCCGGUCCGGCCCGGCUUAUGACAGGUCAUAUGCACCAAACGGUCUACUUAUGACCACGUGAACCGGACUGGACCGAUCAAAUCUCGGAACAUUGGAUCAACGAUUAAAAAUACAUAAAUAAUAUAUAUUUUUUUAUUUAUUUACAUAUAUUAACUGUAUUUAUUUACUUAUAUACUAAAAACUGAAUGAUUGCAUGUUGAAACAGUAUUUAUUUACUUAUAUUAAAAAUAUAAAUAUAUGAAUAAUAUACCGAAGAGUAAAUUCCAUAUAAAAGUUUCUGAUUUUACCUAAUCCAAAAAAAAAUUAAUUUUUUAGAAAAUCUUAAAAAUAAGGGUCUAAAUGAUUGUUUUUUCUAUUUUUAAAUCAUUUCAAUCCUUUAAAUUAUUUUUAUUAUUAUACCCCAUAUAACAUGAAUUUACAGUAACUUUGAAAUAAAAACAAAUUUACCAUAUUAUAGAAGGAUUUAUAUGAGGGGCACUAUGCAGGAAAAAUAUAAAAUUGGGAGCUUUUCUAGAGAAUUUAUCUUAUGCUACAUCAGAUUUAAUAACAUGAUGAAAAAAGAUUUAUAGAGGUAGAACCAUUAUGAAAAAAUAAUUUUAUACUAUUUUUUUUCUUUUUCUUCUUAUGUAUUAAUUUAUAUAUCAGAUCAAAAAUUUCUUUUGGAAUGAGUAAUGAUUUUAGGGUUCAUCAUAAGUUAUAAGCAUGAUUUUUCUCCCUCUUUGCACUAUUGUGAGACCAUUACUCGUUGUUAUCAUCACAUUUAUCUUUCAUAAUUUAUUUUCUUCUUUUUUCUCAUUUUUUAUUUUUUUUAUUUUACAGAUUUUAAUAAUAAUAAUAAUAAUUUGAUGUAACCAAUCUUUUGAUUGUUGGAACUUUAGACUUUUUUGUUAUUAUUAUUGAUUUUAUUUUUUUAUCUUUAUUUAUAUUUUUUUUCUCGUAUUUUUCUUCUCGGAUCUCAAUAGAUGAAUAUCAUGCUAUAUAGCUAUAUGUGUAUUAAAAAUAUAUUUUUUUUAUAUUAAAAUUAUAUUUAAUCCAUCAUAAAUAAAAAAGUUAUACUAAAUAUCUUAUAAUAAUAUGAUAAUAGUUUUAGAAAAGUUUACAUUGAUCUGUUGAAAAUUAACUCAAGUUCUACUCGAGUAUAUAUUCAAUUCAAAAACAUGUUUGAAAACUUAAUCAUGAUCAAAAAAAUAAAAAAUGAUGUUAUAUAUCUUAGAAUUAAGAUAUAGUAGUUUUGGAGAAGUUUAUAUUUGUUUGAUGAAAAUUAACUUGAAUUACACUAGAGUUACGCUCGUUUACAUGUUCAACACAAAAAAAAUUUAUUUAAAAAAUUAAUCGUAUUAAAUUUAUAUUAAAAUAAAAAAAAAAAAGUAAUAAUAAAUAUAUUACACAUCCCAUCCUAAUAGUUCCAGAGAAGUUUAGAUAUGCUCGAUGAAAAUUUAAAGAGUUACGUUCGAUCAUAGAUUAAAUAUAAAAAUAUCCUAUUUUAAAAAUUAAUCAUCUUAAAUUCAUAAAAAAUAAUAAAAAUACCAAUAAUUACUCUGGUAGUUCUAAAAAAAUUUGGAUAGGUUCAGUAAAAAGUUAAAGAGUUACAUUUGAUCAAAUAUUUAAUCCAAAAAUAGUAUAUUUUUAAAAAUUAAUCAUCCUAAAUUUAUAUAAAAAUAGAAAAAAAUAAUAAUAAACAUAUUAGUAUCUAACCUUAAUAGUUCGAGAGAAGUUUGGAUAGGUUUAAUAAAAAUUUAUAGAGUUACAUUCGAUCACAGAUUUAAUAAAAAAUAUCUUAUUUAAAAAAUUAAUCACUCUAAAUUCAUAAAAAUAAAAAUAAAAACUAAAUAUAUUAUUAUCUCACCGAGAAACGUUUAGAUAGAUUUGAUGAAAAUUCAAUUAGUUACAUUGAUAAUCGAUUUAACCUAAAAAUAUCAUCUUAAAAAAUUUAUUCAUCCUAAAAUUAUAAAAAAUAAAAAAAAUAAUGAAAUGAUAUACCAUAGUUCUAAAGAAUUUUGAAUAGUAUUAUAUAGUUGCCAAAUAAUUUUGAACUCGUUUGAUGAAAAAGAUACUAAAUAGUUUGGUUAUACUUGAGUUAUAUUCUUUAACAAAUUGAAUGGAGUCUGACCUGAUAAAAGUGACCCAAUCUGAAUUGCUCAUAUACCCCUCGACAAAACCUGAACAUAGGGAUGCCAUAUUAGAAUUAGUUGUUGCUGGUAAAUUGCUUAAUUUUUUUUAAUAAAUAAGAAUUUAAUGGUAUAAGAUUCUAAUCGGUGAAUCGAAUCGAUCAAAUGAAUGAUCAUUUUUUUGAUAUGAUAUAUUGUUAUUCUUAGGAGAAUUUUAGUGUAAUAUGACUAACAAUUAAUCUAUGAAAAAUAUGCUCCAUGCCAAGAUAUCAUCUCUAGAUCUAAAAGCAUCAAUAACUUAUAAAUUCAUUUAAGUUGAGAGGUAAAAAUACUCUCAUACUUUCAAUGAUAAUAAAGUUACUUGCUUUCCAUAUUUCUCUUAUUCGAAUCAAAUUAUUAGAAAAUUAUAACUAUUUACGACCUGUUCUUCCAUAAACUUGAGUGCCUCGACUUCAUUUGAUAGAUGAUUAUUAUAUUAUUGUUUCGUUUGAUAGCUCAGGACUAACUAAAUCAUUUUCAUAAUCAUAUAGCAAAUUAAAUACUGAUUCUAAUGGCAUUCUUUUAAAAUAUUUAUCAAUAAAUUAUUAACCAAUUAUCGAUCGAUAAACAAUCUUACUUAUUUCUCUUUCUUAAAUGGAAGUGCCUUAAAAUUUGCUUUGAAUUCAUUUGCCACUGUAUCAUUCGAUCCUUUCGAUCAGAAGAAAAAAAAUUAUAUUAAUUUUAUAUUCAUUACCAUUUUUUAUAUUGAACUAUGUGAAUUAUAUCACAUAUUCUACUAAUUUUUUCUCUUAGUAUUAUUACCUUUGUAUAUGCUAUAUAUAUAUUAUUUUUGACCAAAUGUCAUAAGCCCGUCUAGCUCAGUAGGUAGAGCGCAAGGCUCUUAACCUUGUGGUCGUGGGUUCGAGCCCCACGGUGGGCGAACUGUUCUUUCUUUUUUUCUGGUGUAUGAAAUCAAACAGGGAGCUCACUUUUCACCCACUCAAAAAAAGGGGUCCCACCGUCCACGUUGGACACAGCGAUAAAUGCGAGAAGAGUAUGAGUUUCGUGAUCGUUGGUUUCUACCGGAACGGACGAACCAAACACGGACCAGACUCAACACUCGACAUUUAGCCUGACCCGUUUGGAUUAUUUGACGGUCGUGACCUGUUUGGGAUGUGUCACGAGCGCUCCGAAUGCCUACCUUGACGCCCCCAAAUUCUCUCGCUCCUCCUCCGCCCGAUCCGCGACCGUCAACCACGGAGGACUCACCGUCGACCAACGGCGGCCCCGGUGGCUGCUCGGCCCCCCUGAAUCCUUCCUCCUCGAAGCCCAUCCCGGGACCCGACGAGCCGGCCUCCGCCGCGGCGGCCAUGUCCAGGCGGAGCGGGCGGAAGAGGAAGCCCCGCGAGUUUGGCGGGCGGAGCCCCUCCGGCCUCCGGCAGAUGAAGGUGUGGUCGGAGCCCGACGAGGUCGCGCUCCUCGAAGGCGCCCUUGCCUUUCGCUCCCGUACCGGCGCCCUUCCCAAGCAGCCCACCAUGUCCGCCUUUUUCGCUUCCAUCAAGACCUCCAUCGCCACCCACCUCACCCCCGAGCAGGUCGGUUACAAGCUCAAGCGCCUCAAGAGCAAGUUCGUCCACUCUUCCGCCGCUGGUUCCUCCGCCGUUGUCACCGCCCACGACCGGCGCAUCUGCGAGCUGUCCGCCGAGAUAUGGGGCGAGGAGGCCAAGCAGGCCGAUGGGGACGCCGAGGAGGACGGAAACGGGGACGUGGCCCCCGCUGCCACCGAGGAGGAUGAUGAUGCGGGAAGGGAGGAUGAUAAGUAUCCGUUCAUCAGGGAAGCCGUGGCGGAGUACGGGCGGUGCUUGUCGGGCGUGCUCUUGGAGAAGAAACUGAAGCUAAUCGAUGAUUCCAAGGGGAAGUUGCUGGAGGAGAAAUUGAGGAAGCAGUGCGAGGCCGAGAUGGAGUUGUGGGCGAAGCGCCUCGAUUUGUUGAAGGAGAUAUCUGAGCUUCUGAUGGAUGCCCACAAGAGCUGAGGACUGUAGCUUACAUUUCAGGUUGAUUACCUUCUAACAUAUUGCAUAGUUCUCUUUUAGCUUAGUUAGAGCUUAGAAUAUUGUUGUAAGUGCUACUUCUUUUGGUCACUCAUGUUGAUCAUAGUGUUCUAACUAGGGAUAAGUGUAGUAGCUUAUAUUUCAGGUUAAUUACCUUUAACGUAUUGCAUAGUUCUUCUUUAGUUUAGUUAGAACUUAGAACAUUGUUGUAAGUGCUGCUUAGUCACUCAUGUUGAUCAUAGUGUUCUAGCUAGUGUGUUCUAGCGAAGUAUUGUGUGAAUUAUUAAGUUACUGCAGUAUUUAUUAAUGACAAGUAUCUGUUUUACUUUGCAGAUCUUUUAAGGUCUACUUGUCUAGUUUGGGUUUAUGUAGCAAUUAAUUGUUUAUGGAUCUUUUCAAGGGUCUGUUUAAAUGCUUCUAAAUGCAUACCUCCUGCAUUUAUAUUCUAUCAGGACAUUCUUACAAUCGAUUGCCUCUGAGACGACAAUAAUAAAACUGUAAAUUCCAAACUAUUUGCCUAUAUGGAUCUUUUAUUGUCAUUGAGAUCAUAAAGACUAAAAUUAGUAUUUAAAUUAGUAUUUAUAGUUUUUAUUAAAAAAAAUUUCGGUUUUUCUCUAUCUUCCCUCAUGCCACUAAUAUUAAUAAUUUCACCUCUUUUAACUAUAGCAUCUAUAGAUCUCUGGAUCAUAUGUUCGUACCAUCUGAAACGAUUCUCUUUCAUUUUAUCCUUUGUUGAAGCAACACCUGAUUAUUUACGAAUGAAAAAGUUUCUUUUCUAUCUUUCAUAAUUACUCUGCACAUCCACGUCAAUAUUUUCAUCUUAGUAAUAUAAACAUUUUGUAUAUGUUGCUUCUUAGAUGCAUUCAAAACUAUAAAGUAUUGUUGAGCUAAUAAUAGUCUUAUAAAAUUUUUCUUUCAAUCUCAAAGAUACCCAAUGGUUGCACAAGAUUCCUAAUGUCCACCAUUGUAACCAUCAUGUUUUUACUUUAUAAAUAAUAUUUUCAUUAAUCUCUCCAGAUUCAAGAUACUAAAAACUUUUACGUAAUAAAACUUCAUGCUCAUCCAACUUCACUAUAUUCUCCUCUCUUUUAUUGUUAUUACUAAAAUUUCAUAUUAUAUAUUUAAUUUUAAUCCUUCUGAACCUAAAUAUCAAGCUUUUAAAGAUUGUCUUCAUAACUUAAGUUUUGAAUUAAUUUCAUUUAAACUCUUAUCAACUAAGAUAAUAUAAUCAACAAAUAAUAUACACCAGGGUACUUAAAUGACUAGUAAAUUAAUACUAUUGGAUCUUAAUGCUGUCGUGACUCUCGUGACAAUAUUUAAACAUCAUCAACUAUUCAUCUACUUAAUCUAAAACUCUUUUUGCAGUGAGUUUGCGAUCUUUCGAUUGAUAUCAUUACAUGCCAAUUAGAUGUUAUAUAAUAAAAUAGGAAAAAAAAUUGUAAUAUUUCCUUUUUCGAAAUAUAUGUAAGAACAAUGCCAAACAUCAUUUGAAACUUUCUUGUAAUUCGAUUAGUCACAUGUUAACAAUUGAUAUCAAUACAUGCCACUCUGGUUAUCAUAUAAUGAAGGUAAAAUAUUCUUCCUUUGCUACCUAACCAGAUUUGAUAGGCUCACAUAUAUCGACCAUUAUGGUUAUAUACGGUGCUUUCAUGAAAAUAAUUAAACUAAAAUAGUAUUGAACUAUCUAUAAUCUAUCUUGUGACAGAUUCACAUAUGUUGACUAUUAUGUUUAUAUUUGAUGCUUCUAAUUUGUUUGGGUGAAUAAUGAAAUGAUAAUAAUAUUGAAAUGUGUAUCUCAGAGAUAAGUUGGCAACCAUUAGUUUUAGCUGUCAGAAAUUGGCUACUUCAUAUUUCCAUCUAAAGUUAAUCUCACCUGCAAUGUAUUGACCUCUUAGGUCAAUGGUGGAUGAGGACAAUUUAAAUUGGAUUUGCUAACAUGACUAAAUAACUCUAGCCUGAUAAGCAUGAUUAAAUUACUCUGGCCUGAUUGACUAAAUUUAAUUAUUCUUUAUUUGGUUCGAUGCAGCUAGCUAAUAGAGUUGUCUGAAUUAGCAAAGAGAAUGAGAAAAGAGAUUGUUAUUUUAGUUCACUAUAUUAAGUGGGUUAAUUUAGUCCUGAUUAUCUGGGUUCAGUUCCUUCUUGACAUUAUUAGUGUCCUUCGAUUUAACCCUCGUUAAACCUGAACUAAAUGCACAGCUAAGUAUGACUGUGAGGAUAGUAAAACUAUGUUUAUUUUCUAUUGGUGUCACAAAUGCUGGUUUCAGCUAUAUCAGCAACUGAACAUAAAUAAAACCAAGAAGAUUAAUUCAAGUCUUCUACAUUAUGCAGCAUAUUCUACGUAAUUUAACCAGUAACUAAAAUCUAUAUUAGACAUAUUAUGAACAUCUCCAGUUAUUAUCAUCUAGAGCAAUCCGAAUCAGCAUAUAUGAGAUUGUAAAUGCCAGAGAUCGAUAGACAGACAAACAGAUAAGAGAGAGAGAGAUAUUUUCAAUGGGCUUCUUGGAUAGUUAGCCAUCUCCACUAUUGUCUUCUCUAUAAAAUUUGUUCAUAUUCUGCUACACAGUACUUCAAAAGUUUCAGGACAUUUAAGAUCACAACAGUAAGCAAAUGCAAUGUCAGAGAUUUACCAACAGAAAUGUUGCUCAAAGAUGAACCUGCAUUUCUGAGGUAUAGACUAUAAGCUGCAGAACAAUGACUACUAACCCAAAUUGUUAAGGUUGCUUUCAUCUAUUGUUGCUAGCUGAUUGAAUUUGACUUCAUCGCCUACAAACUUCAGAGUUGGAGAUGGUCGACAACUACUUGCUUGUUUGGUGAGUGUGAUUUUUUUUCUUUGUAGUUGCCAGACUAAAGAGCAGGGUAGAUAUUGAUUAGAUGAGACAAUUUUGCAGGUGAUAUUUCUCUACAAGAUGAAAUCUUGGCUGGAGAUCUAAAGCCAAUAAGAGAAGCAAAGCUUCUGAGAAUGAAAUGGUGCAAAGAUGUUACUCAGACAAAAACAAAAAAAAUGGGUGGUGGUUGGUUUUUACAGGUAGGUGGGACCUUCCAAGUAGUUGCAUGGUUGGUAUCUUCCCAACAUAUAUUAUUUAUAUACACAUAUGUAUGGAUUUCUUUUAAGGAAAAAAAAGGGUUAGUGGGACCUUUAUCUCUAAAUGGUCCAGUCAUAAAUGGAAUUUUGUUCUGGAAAUCAGGAUAAGAUUGCUGAUAUAUGUUAUAAGAUCAGUUGAUGGAAAACAUGGUUUGAGAACAGAAACAGAACUGGGAGUUAUCUGGACUUUCUGAUAUCAUUUAUCCAAUAGUCCUAGACUUUCAAUAUCCACAAAUUAUGUCAAUAUGCAUCAAGUGAACACCAGAAAUUUUGUCCAGCUUUCAGCUUGAGGAUUUUAGAUUCUUAAUUGACAAAGCUUCAAUGGUUUUAGGUUAGGAGAGAAAUGUGAGUCUAGAAGUUUUCCAACUAGGUGGGCAUAUGUCAGUCUUGGUGCAUGAACAAUGAUUAAUUACAACCAAAGUUCUUACCUACAAGAAGUUGGAGACAAGCAUUGCUCAACAACACUAUGCUCUGAUGGUUGUGUAAGUUUCCUAUCCAGUUCAACCUAUCCAUAAAUUCUCUUUCUUUUCCCUCAUUUUGUUCAAAGUAAAUGCUCCAUUUAUUAGAGUUGUGUAAUAAUGAUAUCCUUAUUUUUUUAAGAAAUACAUUAUUUACAUGUCAGAUUCUAUAUGUUUAAUGCCAUAUUUGUAGUGUAUGAAUUGAUCUACAGUGACAUUGCUCUUUUACAAUUUAUAUUACCAGUGCUCAAAUCAUAAAUACAUGUAUUGUAUACAUUGAUCAACCUUUUGUCUCAAAAGAUUACUAAUUGAGUUGGAAUCCAACUCUCUUAUUUGCAAGCAGAAAAUUCAUCUGUUAGUGUAUGACUUCAUGUUUGGUGUGUCAGAGGCAUCAACAAUGACAUGAAUGGUAACAUCUCUCCUUGUCCUGUCCCAUGCCAUGCAUGUUGGUUCAUUGGUUGCAGUGUUAUUUCAUGCUUGGUAUGCGAGUGCCAUCAAUGGUGACACUCAUGUUAAUUACUUAGGGGAAUCACAUAUUUAUUCUUGCAUUCAUGUCCUUCAUAUAUGUCCCUUUCGUUCUAAUUAAUCACAUUUAACUAUAGUUACUUUUAAUUGGUUUGUAUUAAAUGGAUAUGUAAAAUACUCGCAUUAUUUCUCAUAUUUUUAUUGUCGUACUGAGUUCUGAUUAAAACGAUUUAAUGAUUAAAUAAUAGUUAAUUGAUGUAAAUAAACCAUGCAAAUUUGUAUGCAAAUAUGCAUACAUAUUUUCAUAUUUAUGUGGUCUACUUUUUAUUGAUUGGAAAAUGUGGUUAGAGAGAGAGAGAGAGAGAGAGAGAGAGAGAGAGAGAGGUUAGUGAUUGGAAAAUGUGGUCUACUUUUUAUUUAUUUUUGACGAAAUAUAGUGGAUCACAUUGAUGGUUGAUCAAAUUAUAAUCAUGAACACCAAAAAAUUAUUCUACUCUAAUUUUAAUAUUUGCUCAAAGAGCUUGGAAUUGAUUCCAUAUUCUUCUUGGAUGAAUCAUAUCAAUUUUCAUUAAUGUUUCUUCUUUAUCAUUAAGUGUUGAUGGCAAUAAUCUAAUCUAUCCAUUAAUAAAAGAUCCAAUCCCUCUCAAGAACAUGACAAGCAUUAUGUAUAAAAAUGCUUGGAUUUAAAGCUAUGCACAGAUAGAUGCUAAAGUCUCCUUUUAUGGGUGAACAUCGAAGUUGAUGCAAGUGAGGAAUAAUUCAAGCUUUAGAACCAAGUCCAAUAAAUCGAAAAUACUUCAUAGGAUAAUUAAUUCAUUUUGAUCCUUGCAUAUAAAAUUUUAAUUUCUUUUAAAACCUUGUUGAGAAGAUAAAACCAGCAACUUAUGCAACCAGUGGCAGUGGGAGUAUGUACAUUGAGAGCUACUUAGACUGUAUUAAUAAGACCAUGAUUUGGGGAAAGAAACAUUAUAUAUACAAAAAAAAUAAAGUAGUAUUAAUGAUCAUGAUAUCUUUUAUUAUUCUUACUUAUUGUCUACGGAAGAAUGGGUUCCAAUUUGGCAUUGCAACCCAAAUGUCAACCCUCACAAGGAGCGAGUGGGGCCAAUUUGUCAUGAUCUAAAUGGAGUGCAAUCCAUCUGUUUACCUUUCGGUGUUUCUGUAUAUUUAUUUAUAUGCAUUUAAAUUUCUAAAGGGUAUUAAUGUCAUAUAGAAUUUGAAGUAAUAGUCAAAUGAAAAAUAAAUUAACCAUAAUAGUAUAUAUAUAUUUAAAGUCAGCAUAUUAUAUGUUUUUAGAGAAAAUUCAUGUCAAGUAGUAAUCGAAUAGUAAUUAAUUAUCAAUAAGAGUAUAUUUUGUAGGUUUUUGAUUUAAAAAAAUUAGAGAGAUAAAUAAUAUAUAUAUAUAGGAUUUUAUCAAAUAAUAUAAUUAUUUAAAGAAAAUAAUGAUGCCGAGAACAUUCCAUUCCCUCCCAAAAGACUAAGAGGGAGCGGAGUCGCUGCUUCCUCCUCUUCGUCUCCAAAUUCGUCGGCCUCUCCCACGUCUCCUUUCUUCUUCAACUGACUGUGUUACUACAACUGCUCGCAUUGCUCUCCUCCAAUCCGUUUGGGGAGGCGGUUUCCGAUGCCCCGAUAAAUGGGGAAGCCGGAGGAAGUCCGCGUCGAGGUCCCCGAUCGAGUCCUCGCCAACUCCGCGGCCGGAGGAGGGGGCGGUCGCGGAGGAGACGCCGGGAUCCGCCGGGCCGUCUCUCUGAGGUGCCUCGUCGUUCUGGCCCUCGGCUCUUGCGUGCUGCUCUCUGCCAUCUUCUGGUUCCCUCCUUUCCGCAGCCGACGGUCCGGGUUCGUCACUGACGACCCCGACAGCCUUCACGGUGAGGUCCUUUUUCUCGGUGUCCUUUCUCGGUCUUGUGCUGGCCGGUUGCCUUCUGGUCGUUUAGGUGCAUCCUGUGAGAUGAGACGCGUGUUCGUGAUCUGGAUCAGGCUUUGUGGGAUUCGUUGGAUCUUGGGGUUCGAGAAUUUAGGGCUUCUUUUUCUGAAGCAGAUUGAACUGCAUUUGCUUGAUUUUGCGGUGGGAAGUCUGCGGUCUCCUCGAUUUUUAGUAGGGCUUUGUCUUCCAAUUUUUGCAGAGGUAUACGUUGUAGAGAACAUUGGGAGGGUAUGCAUAUUGCUGUAGAUUAGGAUAGAUCUUUUUUACUUUGCAGGUGAGGAUGGCCAUGGUUUCUGGCUUUGCAGCUAGUACUAUUAGCUGUUUCCCUGUAUAAAGGGUUCAUCUAGAUUCUUAUGUUCCUGCAAUUUGGCUUUAACGAGAGAAAAAUGAUGCCAUGUCCUGCUUACAAUUUACUUGUCUACUCUAUUCCAUUUAUCUUUACCUACAUAGGAUAAUUUUUAGAAUCACAACAAAUUUUAAGUUGAGUUUGAAGUCGUAUAUCGUAUCUAUGUUCGGUUUGUCUUUGUUCAAAUUUCAUUGUAUGAUGAACAGUCAUCAAUGUUCUUAAGUCAUAAUGUAAAACACAAGUUAGAGAAUACGUAACUCUUCUAUAUAGUUAACUGAACAUUCAUUGCCGUCAAAUAUUUUGAUUAAUUCAUUUCUUGAGCCAUAAGAAUGACUUCAUGUAUCAUUGUGAGGAAAGGAGGCAAAUUUGCAAGAUUGCAAGUGAUGAAAUGGACCUGAAAGUCUUUUUAUUUCCCCAAAAGGAACAAAGGAAUUAUAUGCAAAUUUGUCAUUGACAUUGGAUGUUUUUGAUAUUGUUUUGUCGUUGGAGAGAACUAGAUGGCUGAAAUUAACUUUAAGAUGGAGCACAAGAUGUAGUUGUAUAUAAUAUGUUUAUAAAUUUCAGAGGCAGGAUUUUGUUACAGCAUGCUGUUCCUUUUUUAUUAGGGUGUAUAAUGAUUAAAUAUGGUAUUUUGUUGUUUCAUAACACAACCAGUUACUAUCUUUCCUAUAAUUGGUCCUAGUGAUGUGAAUGUAGAUGGUCAAACAAAUUUAUUGGAACAUGAUUAAUGAUGUAAUAAUCCAUUGUAGAGUGAAUUUAAGAUUAAAAUGUGCAAUACUUGAUGUCAAGAUUUACCAAGGGAAAACACAAUGUUAGAUUUCUACUCGAUUCAAACCAGCUUUUGGAAGAAUAGUUCUGGCAUGUGGAUAUAUUAUAUAUUUUAUUUUUUUUGUUCUAUGCGAAUCUUUUUUGGCGAAUUCCUAGAAAGAGCCCCUAGUUUUGAAAAAAUUCCUACAGAGCACCCCAACUUUCGAAAGUUCCCAUAGAGAGCCUUAUUUUCAUAAAUGAUGAUUUUACCCCAGGUCACUCUUGUUGCUGGUUACCUUUGUCGUUGGCCAUGCCGGCCCCGGGUCUUUUUUUUUCCCCCAAAGGAACAAGGGAAUUAUAUGCAAAUUGGUCAUUGAAAUUGGAUAUGUUUGAUAGUUUUGUCAUUGGAGAGAACUAGAUGGCUGAAAUUAACUUUAAGAUGGAGCACAAGAUGUAGUUGUAUGUAAUAUGUUUAUAAAUUUCAGAGGCAGGAUUUUGUUACAGCAUGCUGUUCCUUUUUUAUUAGGGUGUAUAAAGAUUAAACAUGAUAUUUUGUUGUUUCAUAACACAACCAGUUACUACCUUUCCCAUAAUUGGUCCUAGUGAUGUGAAUGUAGAUGGUCAAACAAAUUUAUUGGAACAUGAUUAAUGAUGUAAUAAUCCAUUGUAGAGUGAAUUUAAGAUUAAAAUGUACAAUACUUGAUGUCAAGAUUUACCAAGGGAAAACACAAUGUUAGAUUUCUACUAGAUACAAAUCAGCUUUUGGAAGAAUAGUUCUGGCAUGUGGAUAUAUUAUAUUUUUGAUUUUUUUUUGUUCUGUGUGAAUCUUUCGUGGCGAAUUCCUGGAAGGAGCCCCUAGUUUUGAAAAAUUCCUACAAAGCACCCCGGCUUUCAAAAAUUUCCACAGAGAGCCUUGUUUUCAUAAAUGAUGGUUUUACCUUGGGUCACCCUAUCGUUGGUUACCUUCGUCAUUGGCCACGCCAACCCUAGCCACAUCUUCCGCUGGUUGACUUUGAUGCUGUCGAUCACGGGUGAGGAAUGAGGGAGGGGCGGCUCACGUGUCCUUGUCGUCGUCGCCAGGCCCCCUCGUCAUCGAUCGUGGGCAAGGAGGUGCCAUGGCGUGUGUGCCCUCACCGUCGAUCAUGGGCAAGGAAGGAGGGUGGACGGGCGGCUAUUUGAGGUUGCAGCCAACCCACGCGUGGAGGAGCAAGCAGCCAGGGGCUCACGUUCGCUCACGGCCCCCCACCUCGUCGUCAUCCUUGGCAGAGGAGAGGAGAGGUAGGGCGGUGGUGCAGGGCUAAGGCAACUGUGGGUCUAUUAGAGGUAGGGGUAAAAUGAUCUUUUCACGCAAGAAGGGGUGCCCUGUGAAAAUCUUUGAAAGUUGAAGCGCUCCGUAGGAAUUUCUUAAAACUAGAGGCUUUUUCCGGGAAUUCACCCAUCUUUCGUUUACUUCUUUUGCUUUUUUUCUUCAUUUUUGUCUAGCAUGUUAGUCUUUGUAACAUUCAUGGUUUCUUCCAGCCUUGAUGUCAGAUAGCCUGACCUUUUUUUAAUCCACUAAUUUGUGCUUAAAAAGCUAACUGUUUGAUAUUUUACGUGGGUGCUGUGUGAUUAGGGAUAAUCUUGGUUGGGUUUGUUCUCAAGAUUGUUUUUUUGGAAUAACUUAUGUUGCUGAUGCAAUUUAUGUAGAUGAGCUUGGUCGAUCUAGGUUCACAAGGCUGGUAGGUCAUAUUUAAUCUAUCUGCUAGGAUGCUAAAGCAGAUGGUUUACACUUGGAAAAGUUACCAGAGUAUGCAUAUGUUAGGAUGGCAGCAGGCCAGAUUUUUCUGGAUGCUUACCCAUUGAAACUGGGUUUGGGUACCUAGAUUGUAAGUCUGGCCUGGGGUUGAGUUUUAAUAGAAUGAAGUUUGUAGUUGCCCUACACAUUGCAAUUUCUAACAUAUGCUGCUGCAUAAGCAGGUCAUAUUAAGUAUUCAAAUAAUUAUAAUUAAAUAAAAAGAAAAGAGAGGGUGGGCCUUGGUACAAUGGUAAGGUUGUUCCUUUGUGACUUGGGAGAUCAGGGUUUGAGUUAUAGAAAUAAUUUUUUUAAAUUUUUAAGGGUGAGGUUACAUACAUUUAUCCUCCCUAGUUCCCGCAUUGGCAGGAGCCCCGUGGAUCCUCCCAUUUUAAAUAGAAAGAAAGGAAUUUAUAAUAUCAUUUAGCUAAUGUGUAGGUGAUUAUAUAAUAUGGCUAACAUAAGAAUAAUAGAAUAUAUGAGAUGAUGUUUAUAUUCAUUUAGGAAAGCAUUUUUGUAAUAGUUGUAAGAAAUCAAUACACAUACGGACCUACCAAUGAUAUUAAAUUUUUUAUCAUGGCUCUCAUGGUAUUAAAAUAUGAAGUAGCCCUUAUGCAAGGCAGUCAUGUGACUGUAUCUACAUAUGCAGCUACAUAUUAGAACUCUGUGGGAACCUAUAGUUGUUGAUUGGACUUAACUUGAAGAAUGUGCUUAGCUUCAGCUUUCUGUAUAUCACAUAUUUUCUAGCAAAACAGGACAUCUUAUUUUGAAUAUUACAGACAUGAUUUAAUCAGCAACUGUUGGGACUCUUGCUAAGGAAAUUUAGCUAUUUGAGUUGACAAUUUUUUUAUGGUUUUUCUUCAAAUAUUUACUAUGUAAUAGCAUCUAUUGUGUUAGAUGAUGUGGAUUUUGCUUCUUUGUUGUGCCUGGCCAACGAGUAGAACCUUAACCAGAUGGUACCUUUAUAAAACCAAAAGCUGUAACUAAAGCCUUGUGCUAUUGAUGCAUUUUGGGGACGUUUCUGAGUUCCUACUAAUACAUAUAAUGUGGCGAUGUAGUCGAGAGGUGGUGCAAAUCCAUGCAUAAUGUUAUGCAAAACAUGUAAAUAGAUGUGGUAACUUCAGGUUAUCUCUUGCAGCCUGUUUUAUUUGUUAUUUCAGUUACUUGAACAUCGAAGGGCUUUAUAUGGUUAUCAGAUAUAAAUGGUUAUCUUGUUUCAUUUCAGCUGAAAUCCAGGCAAGUCUUGUUUUGCAAAAACCAAUUUCACUACUUGGUACUAAUGCUGCAAGAUUGGAGAAUGACAUUCUUGAGGAAAUUGGUAUUCCAAAUACUAAGGUUGUUUCCACUUUAUUUCUGUAACAUUCAUCAUUAUUCACAUUAUUUGGAGCAUUAAUGAAGUUUAUCAUCAAAACAGGUUUCAGUUAUCUCCAUGCAUUCGCUGGAUCCAGAAAACUCUACAUACGUGGUCUUUGGUUUUCUUCCUGACCCAAAAAAUGCCUCAAUAAGCUUACCAGCUUUAAGUAUUUUGAGAUCAACUUUGAUAAAUCUGGUCCUUCAGCAAAUUAAUAUAUCUUUGACAUCAUCAAUUUUUGGGCAUCCAUCAUCUUUUGAACUUUUAAAGUUUCCUGGAGGGAUAACUGUGAUACCUUUGCAGUCAGAUUCCAUUUGGGACAUUGCUCAAAUCCUAUUUGACUUCACAUUAAAUAACAACAUUGAAGAGAUUCUGGAGAACAUUGACCGCUUGAAGGACGAACUUAAGUUCGGAUUGAAUUUGAGGUCUUAUGAGGUGCCCAUCAAUAUGCUUUUCUUAUUUUCGCGAUUAAUGUUCUAGCUGUAAAAUAAAUAGUUAAAUAUGUUCUCUCAAUGCAGAAUGUAUACGUGAAGCUGACAAAUAUAAACGGUUCCACGGUGACACCACCAGUUACUGUUGAAGCUUCUGUUUUGUCAGACAUGGGGAGCGGUAGUCUAUUACCAGAUAGAAUGAAACAACUAGCUCAGGUUAUCACAAGGCCCAAUGCUAACAAUCUUGGCCUCAACAACUCUGUUUUUGGAAAAGUAAAGCAAGUGCAAUUAUCAUCAUACCUUGAACACUCACUCUCAAUGGCCCCUGGUCCAUCUCCAUCUGGUUCUCCAUCUGUUGGCAAUCUUUACCCUGAACCUCCUGCUUCCUUGAACCCUACUCUCUCUCCUGCUCCUGUUCCAUCAGAUAACGACCAUCGACCGCCUCCAUGUUUCUGUUGUCACACUUUUCCAAUAAAAAAUCCAAUGGCAUAUGCACCUGCCCCAGAAAAUGGCAUCCAGCCAGAUUCUCAUUCUGCAAGUGCACUUGGACCUUCAAGAAGGAAUGUUGAUCCUUUUACUAACUGCUUUCCUUGUCCAUCUCUUGCACCAAAUACUGGUUCAUCAGUUCAUCCUUAUCCGUCAACUCUUUCUGGCCAUUUACGACACUUGACCAGUCCUCCAAGUCUCAAAGCAAUGGGGCCAACUCCCAAAGUGCUCUCAAAACACUCACCAUCAUCACCUGCAGCUAGCUUUGCUUCCAGGCCUGUACAAGUCAGUGAAAGUGGUAGCAGAGUGUCUCCAGCAACUUUGUUAUCAUAUGCAUCAUCCUCUUUAUUUUGUAAGUUGUUUUUGCUAACUAAUUGACAUGGCGAUUUGUCUAGAGAAAAGCAUUACAGAUUUGUUUCUUAUUUGAUGCUUAAAAUAUAGCUACAUAUGGACAAGUCUUAUGUUAUAAAUCAUCAUGGAUAAAGUUUUAAAUUAAUUAUUUUUUUCUUAAUAUCGUUGGAACUGGCAAAAAAAAUUGAACUGCGUUUGUCAUUUGAAUCUUCUACAUUUGUUGCUCCAUUAAAUUUUAAUGGCAUGUGUCUUUUGAUUUGUGUCCUAAGAUAUGUCUAUGUACUCCGUGAUGUUCAACCAAACCUCAGGUCUGCCACUCGAUUUUAUGAAAUUGAAUCUUGGCCAACAGUUCACUUCUGUAGCUAUAUUAACUACUAAAGCUUACGAUCAUGGGGAUUGAAAUGAGAUAACUUGUUCUUUGUUAUCUCAAAUUCAUGUUUGUAUUGCAGGUCCUUUUUGCUUCUCUUUAAGAAGCUUUUGUUGGUGUCAUUUUGAAGCUUUUGCCCAACACAGAGAACCUGAUAAGAUGGUCUUUAUGCUUGUUUUUAAGAUGCUUGAUAUUGCUCACUAGUCUGAGACAAGAUAGAAGCAUCUCAACAAUUGUUAUUAAGAUGUUUGAUAGUUUCUUGAGUCCUAUUAUUUUAAUCCUGAAGCCAAUGUAGUUUAGGAAUGACCUCUCUUAACUAGGACUUCUCUUCUUUGAGGGUGGGAAACUUUCCAAGAGAAAAAGAAAAAAAAAAAAAAAGCAAUCGAUUUUAUUGUGUGAAAUAAAAGAAGAUAAAAAAGCUGAUUAGAACUGGUUGCAACUGAUAAAUUGGAUUUCUUAGCUCUUCCUCUCUUGUCUUGAUCUGAUUGUAACUGAUUAGAACUUCUAAACAAGCCAUCUCAGACUUAUCGUCCCAGUCCAAAUAAGACAUUUUGGCUGGACUGUCUGUGCAG